AUUUCGUCCGUUCCUUUCUCAUCUUGUUUCCACUUCUCCUACCUACCACCAGACAUAGCCACUGAUUCCACGCACCAGCGCUCUGCUUCCGUCGACCACGGCCCCCGCACACCUCGGCAGCAGGCUAAGCAGCUGCAGCCCUUGCGUCUCCGUCGCCGGCUCCACCACCACCACUUCCCCUUUCUCUGUUGUGGGAGUCGACACCAGCGACCCUGCUGCUGCAAACCAUCAGAGGCAUGAAGCUGCACCCAUGAUGUGCUUGAGGGAGGUGCCGAACAUUGAGGUGAGCUCGGCGAGCUCGUGCAGGAGGUCGCGUGCCUUCGAGAGGUAGCAGGAUGAGCAUCCGCAGCCCCGUGUCUCCGUCGUUGUCGCCUCCACCACCACCGGCCCUUUCCCCUUCCCCCGCCUCGGGAGUCACCGCUGACGACCACUGCUGCUGCACACCAGAUCCAUGUGGUGCAACUGCUUCCCCGCACAGUAAGCUCCUCUUCCUUUGGAAUGGACACCACUCGCUUGGUUUUCAUCGCGCCGACAAACGUAGGACGCCCGAGGACACUAAUUUCAGGCCAGACCGGCAAAGAGGGAUCGCUCGCCGUUUAUCAUCUUUGGCCAUGCACAUGACAUGUUCGACGUUAUGCUUGGUGCCCACUGGAGCGUACUCAGUACUUCAUUCGCACGCAAGCAGUUGGACCAAGGAAAAUGGAGUGGCUCGCUAUCACGAGCUCAAUCUCGCAGGAAAAGCAGGGCAGGUAGAAACGUACGGUAGUUAGAUAACUGCCAUACGGCUGCUGUAUAGUCACGUCCAAAUUUAUUACAUAUGGGAACUAUUCCCAACUACCACCGACGCGGGCGAGCGAGCGGCGGCGGAGGCCGACGCGAGCGAGCCCGCGUCCGCUGUCCGCAGCACCCUCCUCCCGACGCGCCUCCCGGUUACCACCUUCUUCCCCCGGCGUGGGCGAGCGAGCGGCGGCAAGAGGCCGACGCGAGGAAGCCUGCGGCGGCCGCCCGCGGCACCUCCUCCCGACGCGCCCCCUGGCUACCACCUUCUUCCCCCGGCGCGGGCGAGCGAGCAGCGGAGGAGGCCAACGCGAGAGAGCCCGCGACGGAACCGGCGAGCUACCUCCCGGCGCGGGCGAGCGGACCUUCUUCUCCGGCACGGGCGAGCGAGCGGCGGCGGAUGCAAUCGGUAGUUCUACGAUAUAUUUUGAACCGCUUGUCGGAAUGAUGCAAAUUAUACGGCGUUGGAAAGCUAUGAACUAGGCGCAACUUUUUCAUGUAUAAAGGUUUUGCUAAUUCCUUACGGUUUAAGAGCAGAUUUCGAAUUACCGUCCACUGUUCGAAACUGUCAGGAAGUUCACGGGGUAUAAAAGAGGAAGAUAUAAGCGACGGAGGUUUAGAGACCGCCAGGAAGUUCACAAUUGUAACAUCCCAGAAUUUUCCAAUUCUGGCAUGUUAAAUAAAAUAAUUAUUUUAAUUAAAA